rnacentral:rRNA from 1 species
AUUGAACGCUGGCGGCAUGCCUUACACAUGCAAGUCGAACGGCAGCACGGGAGCAAUCCUGGUGGCGAGUGGCGAACGGGUGAGUAAUGUAUCGGAACGUGCCCAGUCGUGGGGGAUAAAGUAGCGAAAGCUACGCUAAUACCGCAUAAGAUCUAUGGAUGAAAGCGGGGGAUCGCAACACCUCGCGCGAUGGGAGCGGCCGAUAUCAGAUUAGGUAGUUGGUGGGGUAAAGGCCCACCAAGCCAGCGAGCUGUAGCUGGGCUGAGAGGACGACCAGCCAAACAGGAACUGAGACACGGUCCAGACUCAUAGGGGAGGCAGCAGAGGGGAAUGUUGAACAAUGGGCGACAGCCUGAUGCAGCAAUGCCGGGUGCGGGAAGAAGGCCUUCGGGUUGUAAAGCGCGUUUGUCGGGGAGGAAAUGCUAGUAUCUAAUAAAUGCUGGGGAUGACAGUACCCGAAGAAUAAGGACCGGCUAACCACGUGCCAGCAGCCGCCGUAA